AUGGAUACCACAAAUCUUCUGCUGGAGGGGAAAAAAAGGAAGAGCAACCAAGAAGGGACUUCUAGAUUGUUCUUCCACACAAACAUGGCCCAAGAUGGCUGCAUUCAAGGUCCCAGGACCCAUGUCUGCUGUAGUGAGAACUCCCAGCAACAGCUCCCUGGAGAUUGGGUCCUCUCUUCCCCACUCCUCCUUAGUUCCACAGCUCCAGAAAGGGUGAGUCUGGGCACCUUUCCUCACCCACUCCCAUUAUUCCGGGGCUGUAACAGGCAGAGACACAGGCAUAAAUGUCAGGGAGGCCCAGACGGAGGCUCUCGUGUGAUAGGCCUGGGACAGUUCCACUCCAAAACACGCUUGUUCCCCACAGUGAGGCUGGUUGGCCAAAAGCCAUCCUGUUCCAGUGACAAGUCUAAAAUAGGAAACCAUUUCUUAGAGAAACACAAAACCGUUGCCUCUGAGAACACAGAAGCAUCCAGCAAGAAGAAACAGCCUCUGAUCUGGAGGGCAAUUUCUUGGCAGCCUCCAUUCCACCCUUCCCUCAGCAGGGCAGGGAAGAGAAGGUCCAAGUAACCCUGGCACUGGCUGCCCAUGGUCAGGGGGCGCUGUACCCCUCAUGCAUGCCUAUGUUUGCUCACCUGAGCCUCCGGUGCGUGGCAGUGGGUAGCAGGAGAGGCUGGUGGAUGUGACGAUUUAGUUUCUUCUGCAGAAACUGACACUUAGUAGGUGCUCUCCUCAUCUUAACCCUGGGACCCAUGGCUUCUGAAGAUCCAGAAACACCCCGUGUGGUAGACUAUUUUCUGUGCAUAUCUCCACUGGUGAAAACAUUUAUCAAAAUCUCUAAGGGGUCAAAUACCCCAAAAGGCUAAGAAUCACUGGCUUUUUUACUCAACUUUUAAAUUAAGAGUUGAACUCCUUAGAGACGAGGACCUGUCUAUUCAUCUUGGUGUCAUCAUGGUAUAGGAAAAGACCUGGCAUUUUGGACAUUCAAUGGAAUGAAUGAAUGAAUGAAUGAGCGAAUGAGUAAGUGAGUCAAUGGAUGAUAGAUAGCUUAUUCAUCCAAGGACUUCAGAGCUUGGUAGAGAAACUAUAGCAAAAAAUAAAAGGCAGAAAAUGAUCAGAGUCAAAGGAAAUGGAAAAAUGAAGCAUUGUAGAGGCUCUGAGUGGGCAUAGCUUCUCUGGAAGGACUGGGGUGGGGAAAUGGCCAGCAGAGUGGAGCUGGGACAACUGGGGGAGUUAGGGGAGGGGAGGUUCGGUAGAUAAACUGGGGAGAGGGCUGGGAAGUCAUUCAGGAAACAGUGAAGAAAGGAAUCACAAACUUUAUAGAGACAUGAACUGUUUUUUUUCACUGUGGUUUUGCAUACGGGGCCUAAUGAUUUUUCCUUUCUUUUCCCAUGCAAGCUGUCCAGUUUGGCUAGAGGAGAGGAUGUGCUCGAGGAGUGGUGGGAAAAAGCUUUGGAAACAGAGGCUGGGGCCAAAUCCUGGGGGGCCUCACAUGCCAAUCUCUGCCAGCCCAGCCCUGAAGCAACAGAGCCAUUCAGCAUGGGGAGGAGAGGCUGAAGGGAGAGAAGGCCAGCCUGCCCCAGCUGGGGGAGUGCCUGCAGGGCUCCAAGCAAGGGGCUCCGAGGCAGCAGGGCCAGGGCAGGCUGGAUGGAGAAAGGGGACAGGUGUGAGGGGCUGCGGGGGGGACGCGGGCAUCUGACAGCUGACUUCACGUGGGGAUGGUGAAGAAAAAGCUGUCCUCAAAGAGUCCUCUGGUUUUCCCCAGCCUCUGUGAGGGG
rnacentral:lncRNA from 1 species